CUGCUAGUGGUUUGGAACACAUUAAAGGCCAGCAGAGUGGCUUCAGGCUUGGCUGGGACCUGAGUGAUUCUCAGAGGGCCAACUUGCAGGAAUUCUGCUCAUAGCUGAAGUACAAUGACAUUGCCUGCUGCUGAAAGGGCUCAUCUGCUUAAUGCUUCUCCAACAUGUCUGCUGAAAAAGAUUUGCCGUCAGGAGCUUUAUCUCCUCACCCUUCCAGAACAACUUCUGAACAUUCCACACAGACCUUGCCAUCAAAGGGAGAGGAUAUUAACAUGAAGCUAAAAGAGGAGAGUCUGCAGGAUGAACCUCCAUUCACCAUAGAGCAAGAGUCUUUGGAGAAGGAAGAAUAUCCAGAGGAAGAAGAGUCUCUGGAGGAGGAAGAAUUUCCAGAGGAGGAAGAGUUUCUGGAGGAGGAAGAAUAUCCAGAAGAGGAAGAGUCUCUGGAGGAAGAUAUGUUUUUGGAGGGAGAAAAUUAUCUGAAAGGAAAAGAGGAUCUUUUUAAAGAAGAGGAUUUGAAGGAGAAAAUGCAUGUGGAAGAAAAAGAGUAUCCUUUUGAAAAGUAUCUGGAACAAAGUGAGUAUCUAUAAGGAAGAGAAUAUCUAGAGAAAGAAAUUUGUCUGGGAGACAGUAUCUGUACGAAGGAGAGCAUCGGAGAGUGAGGGCCCCCCAGAGGAUGGUAGCUCUAGUUCACCACAAUGCCGAGAAGAAAGAACAAAACCUGAGGCGCAGCCAACCACAGACUACUAACCCUAUCCAUGGUGCUGACAGAAUUUAAGGAGUUAUUCAACAGGAAUUCUGACUACUCUUGAUGGAAGGAGCUCAGCUGCCAGUACUUUUCAGGAAAGCAAGUCUAUUACCAUCCCGCAUAUCUUCACUACCCCUGUUCCUGCCUCUGAGCCUGCCAUGGAGUUUGCCCUGGAGUUGUCUUCCUGCUGCCUGAUGGUUCCUACGUCUUCCCUAAGACACCAGGCUAGUCAGACAGAAUGGACCUAUGAGGGAAAAUCUUCAAUAUCAAAACUGAAAACAGAUCAAGGAAUCUCAAUACUAUCCACUAUGAAGUCUGAUUUGGAAGUUGCCUCUGAAAUGGAGCAAGAUGAAGAUGAAGAUGGAGAUGAUGUGUGGGAGAGAGACCAGGCUCAACCGCAGAUGCUGCAUAGUCAAGUGGGAUUCACAGCCAAAAAACAGGGUUGAGGGUCACUGCAUGGAAAGUUACUACAAAGAAACACUGGGGCAGGGAAUUGGGGCUAAACUGACCUCCCAGAAUUUCUGUUGAAGGCAGACAUGACCUGGGGGAUGGGGGAGGCAGAAUUAACUAGGAGAAGAUUCAAGAGCCUGACUAAUGUCAGUGAAGAAUCUUUGUCACUGUAACAUAGGGAUUAUUGUAUCAACUUUACAGAGCAAAUACACAUAGAUCAAACAUUUAUCUUAAAUCCAGGAAAUAAAGUUCUGUCAAGAAAAAUACAGGAGAGACACUUGCAUAAGGAAGAAGUAAGAUUUGUUCUUAAUCAGACUAGGGAAAGAACAUUGUCAAAUUAGGGAACUAUGUGUGCCAGGAUUGACCUACAUCAACACCAGUCCUCUCUCCAAGCCUCCGUAGAGACAAAUCUUGUGCAUAUUGCACAGAUGAGAGGUUAGGACACAAGAGAAAGAGGGUGACAUAUUGGAAGUGGCCUGGGUCUCAUAAGACGCUUGCCCUGGCCUUCUCCUCCUCCAUGGGGCCAUUUCAGGAGUAGAUGAUGUUCUCACCAGAACAGAGGUAUAGCUGACUCAAAUCCCCAAAGGAACAGUAAAGCAG
ensembl:lncRNA